CCAGUGCGAUUAACCUCUGGCGAGCUGGGCUACCUCCAGAGAGGCUGCAGGAAGGGGAAACCUGGUAUGGAGAAACUGGAGAGCAGGGGAGAGUGUGAAGUUGGGCAGGUGGAAAGAGACACCGGCACUGAUCCACUGAUGUCCACAGGGGACAUACCUUCCUUUGGGGGCUGCCCAAACGGUUAAAGGAUCAAACCCUACGAAUCAGCUACAGUUGUAUAAACUCAUUUCCGGUGUGAAGGAGACAAGGAGGGAGGAAUCCACCUGAGGGCGGCCAGGUCUACAGGAAUGCUUGGUCCCAGCUCCCCGGAGCAGCACCGGAGCACCUCGUCCAGCUCCAACGUCAGGGCUGGACGGCCAUCUAGGAGGCCCAGGCCCAGCUGGAGAAUGCUGGGGACCAUGAUGCUGCAGCUCCUGGUCACCAGGGAGGGGGACUCAGCCUGGGCCCCAGGCCUCCGUGUCCCCCAGGAACACUGCAGAUUCCCCCCAGUAGCAGCUGAGUAGCAGGCUGCGCACCCCCCGGGGGAAAGUACUUCCCAUUCAAGGGUUCAAGGAGGACAGGAGAGGGCCAUCCCUCAUGUCCCACUGCCCAUCUUGGUCAUAUGCUUGCCGUGCCCUCUGGCCAGUCCUGGUGUUUUAGUGUCCUGUGCAAGUGGCCAGUGGCUUCCUCCUGUGGAUAGAAGCAAGGUAAAACAGGGGUGAGCACAGGCCCUGGGACUGGGCUCUACUUCCUGUUGUGUGGACUUGGGCAAGUUACCUAAAGCCGUAAGCCUCAGCUUCCUCAUCUGGAAAGUGGGGAUAAUAAAUAAAACACACUGCCUCUUACCUGGGGCAUUAUGGGAAUAAAAGGAUACAUGUA